AUGUUUUAAGGUGGAUGAAUCAAAUGACUCUGCGCUAUCUCUUUCACACUCAUCAUCACUCUCUAACCUCUCGGAUCUCUCUGCACUCUCUCAUCUCCUUCUUUGCUAUGUCAACAGCCUCGGACUCAACACUCUCUCUAAUCCCUCGAAUCGUCUCUGCACUCUCUGCUCUACUUCUCCUCCUUGUCCUCCUCAACCAUCUUCCUCCCUCUCAUAUACUUCCUCUUCCUCUUCAUUUUCACGCAACAGCGCCGCCGUCCACCGGUCACCAACGGCCGCCAAAUUAAACUUCUAGAAUCCUUUUUCCGUCCUCUUUCCAACCCCCAAAUUAGUUUCUACAAAUUCGUAACCGAAUUUCCUCAAUUUCAGAUCUAAGAAACGGUGACCAUUGGUUUUCCGUCCAAUUUCUGGCUAAGCCCUGUCGGAAUUGGACCUCGACCCAAGAGAUCAGUGAACAAUUUCUGGGUGUCCAUAGAGUGCAAGCAAGGUGAACUUCGACGGUUGGUUAUGGCAGUUUUUUUGGUGCGUACCGUUUCGUUCCUGCCAUAUGGGUAACGUCAUUCCUUUCUUGAUUAGAAUUAUUAACUUCUAUUGGUAUUCAUGAGUGAUAGCUAUUCUUUGUUUGAGAUGGGUAAUCUUGGUUGAGAAAUUUGUUCUAAUCAGCCGCAAAAUAUGGUCGGAAGUUUGUUGUCCUUGAAGUUCAUGACUUGGAAUCGUCGGGGUUGUUCCCGGCUAGGAUAUUUUGUCAAGCUUCCUUUUUAGAUUGAAUAAAUUAUCUUGAUAUUUUCUGUUCUAUAUCGAAUAAAUUUAUCAUUUGCUGUUGCAUCUCAUGGUCAGUGUGGGGGUUUCCUGUUAUUAAGGAACUCUAUUUCGGUUAAUUUUAAGAAUACUAAGGUUCGGAUAUGUUUUUGGAUGAAAGGUGACCUUUCUUUUUGAUAUUGGAGGGGUGUUGCAUAAAAUUUGAUACCUGCAAGGCUGCACACAAGUCAAUAACAUGAAAUAUGGAUGGUGUGUAAAUUCAUCCGUCUUAGAGGUUUUGAGUUUCAUAUGUAUAGUCAAUUAUCGUACGUUCAAAGUUUGUUAUUGACCAAAAGAAAGACGAUGGGAAGCCAAGGGUUAUGGCUACUCUGAAUAAUAAUAAUAAAAUCUAAUCUUUGUAACUGGAAAACUUAAUCUAAUUAUUUGUUCUGGGAUUGUCAUGGAUAAUUAUAUUCUAGUAACGAGGUACAUGACUUCUUUGUGAAAGCUCAUGUUUUGUGUUCAGUUCAUCAUUUUGUGUUUUGGAAAAGAACAGAUCAAAUAGUGUAGAAAGUUUCAGUUUGAUUGCUUAGUUCAGAUUACUUUAAGAAAUUUGGGUUUGAGCGGACAUUUGUUUGUGGUAAUUGUUAUCCAGCUUUCUUGUUCAGAUGCAAUUGCGUUCUAGUCAUGUGCAAAAGAAAAAUGUACCUCACUAGCAAAAUGCUUUUCGAAAUUAAAAUGAACAUCCAGUGCUGACUUGUUCUCUGCAUGUUGCUUCGUGUGCAGAGAACACGAAGUAUAUGGAAGAGUGGCUCUCUUCUCUGAGCAGCAGCUGACACCGGAUGAAAUGGAUACUGGCCUAGUUUGAUGUAAUUACUUACUAGUAGUACGGGACUGGCUAAUAUAACUUUGAGUAGCAGAGAUGGGAGUAUUAUAGAGGAUUCUAGUGCCAGUAUUGCUGGAAGGUGGUUUGUUUUCCUGCUGCCUUUGCCUUGGGAUUGACUUGGAAGGAGGCUGCUGCUACUGUCUUACUCGCAAUUCAAAAUUAUGGUACUAGAUCUCUUUAAGGGAAUUAGAUCCCUCAUAUCUCAAAAUGGUAUAUAUAUAUUUAACAUGUAUUUCUACAUAGUUCAUGCCUAUUUUGGUUUAAAAGUAGAAUUGGAUAUAUGAUGUUCACCAUAUACUACUGAAUAUCAUGCAAAACCCAUUUUUGGAUUGAGGUGUUGGUCGUUAGUCUUAUACUCUUUGAAUACUGUUUGAAAAUUCUUUUUAAGAAAACGUACAAUUGCCAAAUUACUCCACAUGUAUAAAAGUAAUUUAUUUAAAGGAUGGAAUUGGUCUUUUAGUAUUAUGUGUACUCAUGCCUUUUAGUGAUGGUUUGUACUUGUGAUUAGGUUAAUUGCGUGGAGUAUUUGGGACUGGGGCGUGACAAUAGAUGCCAAAUGGUAUUGUAUCUCAUUUUGGAGUUUGGUGUUGUGAACCCUUUUGUACAUACAAGUUUAAAAUAUAUAUGCAUAUAUGUUUAUAUGCACGUGGCAUGAGGUCAUUGAUUUUUUGGGUGCAAUACAUCUUAAUUCUAAGAAGAGGAGAUUUGACUCUAUAAGUGCAGGUAUUGGAUUGCUCUGCUCUCUCAGUGUAAGUACAUCUCUGCAUAUCUUUAUUUCCUCAAUUAUAUUUGACUUUGUUAUGUUGAGUUGCCAAAUUAAAGGUAUUGCACUACUUUUUCGAUACUACAUUAAAUCUGGAACAUGUGAAACAUUAAAUUUUGAGUGUUAAUCAUUGAACAGGGGCUGCAUUUUAAAUUUGUAAACAUCCACUGUAAUGGUUUGGGGCUUGAUAGUUGUACCAAAUCUCUUUUUCUUAUUCCCAUGUGCAUGUCCAUGUGUAGACCUUUUUGCAGCUUUCUAAGUUUAGGUUUUUCUUGAUGUGUGCUUAAGUGGUUUGGGAUUACUUUCCUUUGCAGGCCUGGGUAUUAUAUAAAAUUUUGCGCUUUCAGAUUAAGGUAAAGUUUGAUUAUAUCUUAUAGUUAAUUAUGAUGCCCAUCACAAGGUGAAUAAUUUUUUUCCAUUACACUUAUGUGUUCUAUCAAUUAAACUCCAGACCAACUACUAAUCUCCUAAGUUCUUUAAAUUUGGGUUUGUUAUAUGUUGUAGGAAAUGGCAUAUUUUUUCUUUACAUUUGAAAGAGUGAAAAUUAUAUUGUUGGGACUUUGGAUUCUAUUUUUAUGUCCUAAUUUGUGUGAGGAUUGCUUGCCAUCCAUAUAAGAAUGUUACUAAAGGGUGCGUUUGGUACGUGGGACGGGACGGGACAGAACGGGACGAGGCGUUCCGUCCCGCGUUUGGUGCGCCAAAAAUGGGUGGAACGGGCUGUUCCACGGGACAGAUUUUGGGUGUUUUUGCGUCCCACCUCCUCCCCUGGAACGGGUUUGUUCCACGUCUGUGGAACACAAUGUUUUACCAUUUUAAGACAAAUAUACCCCAUGUCUUUUUCAAAAAUUACACCUUCGUUCCGUCCCGUCCCGUCCCGUUCCGUCCCGUCCGCGUACCAAACGCACCCAAAGUGUUAGGCAAAAGUCUUUAUGUUUCAAUCACAAACAAGUGCAUGUAUACAUAGCAGAAUUACACCAAUUAAUCUGUGGGAGGAAGGAUAUAUAACAGCUCGUGAGAUAAAGAUAAUCAUAAUUUGAAAAUUCGGAAGCCACUACAUACUCAUUUCUUGUUGCUCUGUGUAAAUUUUGAAGGGUCCGACACUGGCACUCAAGCAGCAUUUUGGAAAGAAGAUUUUGGAACUAGAAGAUGAGAAAAGAACUGUGCAGGUUCACUUAAAACCUUAAUAUUUGAUGUUCUUAUGCUUGAGAGAACCGAUAUUCACUUAAAACCUUUAUAAUUUUAUUUUUAUUUUAGUUGGGGAUAGAACAUGUAAAAUUAUAGUUGUUUUUACAUAUAAUGGUUGUGAAUAUCCUUGUAAAUUGUAAUAUUAUAGAUGCUUGUGGUUGUGGACUGUUUUAAUUUUAUGAAAAAAUAAUUUUAAUUUUAUGAAAAAAAUAAUUUUUUGUUUAGCCUCAAUCUCAAUUUUUAGGUGAUUUUGGUUUUUAAUUUUUUUUUAAAUGGUUGACAUAUUGGGCACAAUAACAAUAAAUGUGCUAACAUGGGUGGCAGACAACUUUGUCAGAACUGGGCACAAAAGAACCUUUAUUUGUGCUUACACUUUUCAGCACAGCAUACCUAAUUGUGCUCUUUGAUCAAAGGUGACGCCCAUAGAGGGC
rnacentral:lncRNA from 1 species